rnacentral:snRNA from 1 species
AGCGGCAGAGGGUGGUGCAAACAGACAACGCCCUCGCCUUUUACUAGGGCGUUCCGUGUUCCACCCUCACACCAAUGUCGCUUAGCCAAUUUUUCAGAUCUCAGCUUGUCCUGAGUU